CCUACGGGUGGCAGCAGUGAGGAAUAUUGGUCAAUGGACGAGAGUCUGAACCAGCCAAGUAGCGUGAAUGAUGACUGCCCUAUGGGUUGUAAACUUCUUUUAUAUGGGAAUAAAAUGUUCCACGUGUGGGAUUUUGUAUGUACCAUAUGAAUAAGGAUCGGCUAACUCCGUGCCAGCAGCCGCGGUAAUACGGAGGAUCCGAGCGUUAUCCGGAUUUAUUGGGUUUAAAGGGAGCGUAGGUGGAUUUUUAAGUCAGUUGUGAAAGUUUGCGGCUCAACCGUAAAAUUGCAGUUGAAACUGGCAGUCUUGAGUACAGUAGAGGUGGGCGGAAUUCGUGGUGUAGCGGUGAAAUGCUUAGAUAUCACGAAGAACUCCGAUUGCGAAGGCAGUUCACUGGACUGCAACUGACACUGAGGCUCGAAAGUGUGGGUAUCAAACAGGAUUAGAUACCCCUGUAGUC
rnacentral:rRNA from 1 species